GCCAUCUUGAUGGAAUGAAAAAUGUUUGUCACAAGGAAUUUUCACCAUGUGGCAUAUUCAAUGCAAUGGAUCAAAAAGUGUCUUCACAAGAAGUGGCUCCAGAAGAGCUUCCUUGUGACAUUUUCCUGCAGACCAGCAUGUACAGUGAGGAGCUCAAUAAAAGACUCAACCACGGUUGUCAGUGAGACACCCAGAAAUAGACAAGUAUUGGUCAAGGAAUUGUAAAGUCUGAGCCGAAGUUGAAUGCCAAGUUUGUGUAUCGUUGUAUCCAUAAGUUUUAAAAUAUAUACAUCCAAGUCAUUUACUGACUAACAGCUCCAACAGUGCUCGGAGCUCUUCAAAUCAAUUGCUGCAAUCAGCUGUGAUAAUAAUCAAUUUGCAAACAUUUAAUGAAUGGCAUUUGGUUUAAUAAAUAGGAUAGCUUCAUAUUUUAUCUCCCAACACUUGAGCAACACAAAACACUUUUGGGUUGUUUUGAAUGAAAAAUAUAUUUUACUUCUGAGGGAAACAAAGAAGUUACAAUAAGGUUGUCCUUUGCUUCAGCACAGUUCAGGCUGUUAAUAAAAUGCAACGAGGGUGAUGAGUGUUACAGAAUUGCCUGCAGAGGAAUGUAACAUCUCAAAGAAUCCUAGAGGAAUCUAAAUGUUAAAGCUAUCUUGUUAUUUUCAAGAUAAUGAGAAUAAAAUGGAUCAAACAAUCCAAAUUAGAUAUGCUAAAUGCAGAAGUAGCAUGCAACAGCUGGUUGUAAAUAUUUUGGGUAUCUGAGGAAUGCAAAUGUUAAGUUCUGGUAUAGAUACCCUUUCAAAACUAAGUCAUGGUGAAUUUAGUGGCAGUCAGAAUUUGUCAUUCACCUGCUGGACACGCACAAGAUCAACUAUCCAUAAAAUUAAAACAAAUUGAUGGGAAAUGAAACUCCCUCCAAAAAGGGAGUAAAAAGAAUAUUUUCUACCUCCAUUGGUAACC